rnacentral:lncRNA from 1 species
GUCAGGUGCAGCUAUCAUCCUGAUGUGGUACAGCUUAUGGAAGCUUUGUUCAUUGGUAGUUCAUGGGCCACUGACGACAGGAAAAUAUCAGCAGGAAGAGGGAUAAGGAAAGUACAAAUUCUUCAAUGUCUAUGGGUGCAUCCUGGCUUUCCAUGAGCUGGCUGGAACUAUAAGUAGUGAGUUGGUAAUCAUUCUGAUAUUCAAG